rnacentral:lncRNA from 1 species
CGACAAGUAGCCUGUGUACCAUUCCUGGAGGGUCUGGCCCGGAGCUGACAACUAAUCCCUGGUGGCACCAGCACACAAGCGUCUCAUCUGUAUUCAACCCAACAGAAAUACCAAGAGAUAGGAGGGAAAUAGAAAAUAUUCAAAAUGCUCGAAGGCAACGAAUUCAAUUCUGAUGAACAGAUAUGUUGGGGAGCCACGUGAAAUAAGAGUUGUGCUCCAGUGGGUAGGCGCUUCAAACUAUGGACAUAAAUGCCCAAAUAUGUGAGGUAGUUUGGUCUUUUAUUGAGAAAAAUGAAAGAAAAACAAGCUGUCUUGGGAAAUGUCUAACCAGAAAAUCUAUCUGAUUUCUCAAAAUAAAUUCCGAAGAACAGAGGACACCAACGAUUGUACCUGUGUGUCGCACUACAACACUGGCAGAAGUAGAAGCUGCACGAGAGAGUGGGGAAGAAAAAGCAAGAAGGGUAGAAAUGGGAUGAUAAUCAAAUGCCCCAGGACUUUGAAACUUCAAAAAAAAGAGUAUCAGAAAAGAGAGAAGAUAAAUGUGUGUGA